rnacentral:lncRNA from 1 species
CGAAUCUGGUACCGGGACUUGGGGAGCGAGGGAUGCAACAUGGUGCAUCUGGGAGGCCUGCUAACUGGCUAACUUCUCCGGCGUUCCUCCCGGCCGAGGCGUGGGCACAGAAUAGCGCAGGUGAGGCCCAGAUAUGGUGUCUCGAUACGGCGCGGAAGUUUGAAGACAUCAUUUUCCAGUUUUGGAGCCGACUAAUGAACUAGUUCUUAAGUGAAAGGCAUUUAACACGACUGUGCAUCUACAGGUACUAGCUCCCUCUUCUCUUCCAGGUUUCCAAGAUGCCUUUCCAGACUAAAACCCACACAUGUGAGCCGCUGGCCGGACAAACAUCUGGCACCUAACGUGGGGCUGAAAAACAGCAGAGGACAUUUGGAAGAAACACUGCUGGUUUGGAGCUCCAUAGAAGAAGAAAAUAAUUAAAGGAAAUUCAUACCAGAGAAGGAAGCUGCAGCUCCUCUCCUCUGGAUCUUUAUGACCACACCAGGAAGCAUUGUGAUCUGCAGUCACUGCCAACCUGCAGGAUAACACAGCUUGUUCCUCUGGGAACUGCCCUGCAGUGUCUGCAUACAGCCACCCUCGACCUGUCUGCCUGGUCUUUGCAACCUCUAGUGGCUGUUGUUCCACAAUGUGUUGUGAAGAGACCUGAAUGGUUUGCACCAAAACACAAACACAAACCAUUGGGAGAGUGAUUGGUGAAGUGAUGGACAUUUACUCGGGCAAAGGCAUGCAUGUAAAAUAGUCCCUAUCUGGAUGGACCUACGCCUGUGGCAGGAAGUUCACUGGUCAAUUACCUGCUGACUGAAGUGGCCUAUUUUCUUCUGACCCCCUGCUUCUCUCUUCCCCUCUCCGCCCUGAAAGCUGUUUGGGCAUAGGGAGGUCUUGACCUGAGGAAACCAUCUUGGGUAACCAAGGCAAGGAAAGGGAAUAUGCAACACCUAGGAGAUUUCAGCAAACAGUAGAAUCAUGCCAACGUAAUCUGUGUUAAAAUGCUUGGAAUGUGGGAGCCGCCGGUGAUGUCUGUUGUCUGUGUGUCUCCAGUAAUCCUUUCUUUUUUAAGUGCAGCAAAGCCAAGCCUGGAAACCAGGCCAAGCGCCUGCCACUUACCUUAAAUUUAUCAGCCACUUUGAGAUUAAAACCCCUGAAAGCUGCUGCACAGUGAAAGCAAGGCCUCCUUCACAUUAAAGGCAAAUCGCAACUCUGGG